UGCUGUUUUUAAUCUUUUCUUUUUAUCCAAGUUUGUAGGUUGCUUCCCUCGGAGAAGGAGCAUCUUUGGAAGCUAAACUCUUGAGCAGAAAGGAGGCAGCAUUGCGUCAAAGAGAGGCCACACUUAAAAGUUCCAGGGACUCGAAGGAUGGAGUUGAUAAGGAAAUCACAUCUCUACAGGCUGAAGUUGAGAAUGCAAAAGUAGAGACUGAAGCCACAGUGAGACAGCUGAAUGGGGUUGAAUCCGAAGUGAAAACUCUGCGAUCAAUGACACAGAGAAUGAUAUUAACUCAGAAAGAAAUGGAGGAAGUUGUUCUUAAGAGGUGUUGGCUAGCUCGUUAUUGGGGUUUAGCCACAAAAUAUGGUAAGCUACUGUCUGGUUUAGCCUCACUUUUUUCUUCUUUUGGUGGUUG